rnacentral:lncRNA from 1 species
UCAUGCUUUGGAAUUGCCUUGAAACCAUAUCCAAUAUCACUGGUCUAUAAACCUACAAUGAAUCAAAAGGGAUAGACCAUUCAAAACACCCACCAAUUACAAUAGCAAGCCCUAAGGACAAUGAAAACUAGUAGUUCAUGCUCAUAAGUGCAAGCCAUCGACACUGACCUGAGCUCACUUGCAGCAGACACAGUAUUAAUGGAUAGUCCAAAGCACUAAACGUAUGGCCAUGUACCUAUCUUCUCAUUUUAGCAACCUGGUAUGCAUUAAAACACCUUUCAGCAUGACAUUCAAGAAAACCAUUAGGACACAAAAACAAAGGACAAACAUCCUAUAGUGACAUUCUACACAUAACAUUCCAUAAUAAACCUCAAGCCAAUCACCAAUAGAUUUUCAUCCCAAUAUCUAGUUAUAUACAAACAAUACACAUGCACAACAGUCUAGCUAUUAUGGGGAAGCCCUGUCAUUCACAUCUCAACCAAACCUUAUAGCUGCUGAACCUGGCAGAACAACAUAGUCGUAACACAUUUCAAACAAAGCCUUUUCAUCACCUUUCCAUCAUGAUGUCAAAUUUCUAAACAAAUGCACAAACCAUGUUUAUUUCAAUAUGCAUAACAUUAACCACAUGACUUGGAAAAUAUAUGACCUUAACCGCAUUACAACACACACAAAAGCACAUCUGAAGUAUAUCUCUAUAGACCAUAUUAUAACAUGGACCAACCAUUCAUACAUCAAGGCCAAACACAAUGACAAACUCAAGCCCAAACUAGAGUACAUUGAGCAGUGUCUGGCCACAACCUGUAUAACAUCCACAAACAUAGCCUCCAUCCAAAGACAUAGCAGCCAAUCCAAAGUAACUUUCAACAAGUGAUUAAU